rnacentral:rRNA from 1 species
CCGGUUUAAACUCAGAUCAUGUAAAAUUUUAAAGGUCGAACAGACCUAAUAUGAAAGCAUCUUCACCAACAAUUAAUUUUAAUCCAACAUCGAGGUCGCAAACUUUUUUUUUGAUAAGAACUCUAAAAAAAAUUACGCUGUUAUCCCUAAGGUAAUUUUAUCUUAUAAUCUAAAUUUUAGGAUCAUAAACUCAUAAAUAAAUGUACUAAUAAAAAAAAAGUUACAUAAAUUUU